AGCUCAGUUGGUUAGAGCGCAGGAUUCAUAACCCUGAGGUCACGGGUUCAACUCCCGUC
rnacentral:tRNA from 1 species